UACGGAGGGCGCAAGCGUUGUUCGGAAUCACUGGGCGUAAAGAGCUCGUAGGCGGUUUGUCGCGUCUGCUGUGAAAACCCGAGGCUCAACCUCGGGCUUGCAGUGGGUACGGGCAAACUAGAGUGUGGUAGGGGAGACUGGAAUUCCUGGUGUAGCGGUGGAAUGCGCAGAUAUCAGGAGGAACACCAAUGGCGAAGGCAGGUCUCUGGGCCACAACUGACGCUGAGGAGCGAAAGCAUGGGGAGCGAACAGG
rnacentral:rRNA from 1 species